rnacentral:rRNA from 1 species
AUUGAACGCUGGCGGCACGCCUAACACAUGCAAGUCGAGCGGCAGCAUAGUAUGUAGCAAUACAUACUGAUGGCGAGCGGCGGACGGGUGAGGAAUACGUAGGAACCUGCCCUCAAGCGGGGGAUAACCAAGGGAAACUUUGGCUAAUACCGCAUAAUCUCGAGAGAGAAAAGCAACCCGCAAGGGCGGCACUUGAGGAGGGGCCUGCGUCCGAUUAGCUAGUUGGUGAGGUAAGGGCUCACCAAGGCGAUGAUCGGUAACUGGUCUGAGAGGACGACCAGUCACACUGGGACUGAGACACGGCCCAGACUCCUACGGGAGGCAGCAGUGGGGAAUAUUGGACAAUGGGGGCAACCCUGAUCCAGCGAUGCCGCGUGAGUGAAGAAGGCCUUCGGGUCGUAAAGCUCUUUAGGUUGGGACGAAGGUUAUGUGGUGAAUAGCCAUGUAAUUUGACGGUACCGACAGAAUAAGCACCGGCAAACUCUGUGCCAGCAGCCGCAGUAACAC